rnacentral:tRNA from 1 species
GGGACUGUAGUUUAACUAGAUCACAGGUUUUCAAAACUUGGGGUGCGGGUAGCACUCCCGGCCAGUCCCU